rnacentral:rRNA from 1 species
CCCUUAGAUGUUCUGGGCCGCACGCGCGCUACACUGAUACAUUCAACGAGUUCUUCCUGGUCCGAGAGGAAUGGGUAACCUUUUGAAAGUGCAUCGUGCUAGGGAUAGACUAUUGCAAUUAUUGGUCUUCAACGAGGAAUUCCUAGUAGACGUAGUUCAUCAGACUGCAUCGAUUACGUCCCUGCCCUUUGUACACACCGCCCGUCGCUCCUACCGAUUGGAUGAUCCGGUGAGCUAUUCGGACCUGUGCAUUUUCCAUUGGAACUUGCGUGGGAAAGUCUCGCGAACCUUAUCAUCUAGAGGAAGGAGAAGUCGUAACA